CAGCCGCCGCGGUAAUACGGAGGGUGCAAGCGUUAUCCGGAUUUAUUUGGUUUAAAGGGUCCGUAGGCGGACUUAUAAGUCAGUGGUGAAAGCCUGUCGCUUAACGAUAGAACUGCCAUUGAUACUGUAAGUCUUGAGUAUAUUUGAGGUAGCUGGAAUAAGUAGUGUAGCGGUGAAAUGCAUAGAUAUUACUUAGAACACCAAUUGCGAAGGCAGGUUACCAAGAUAUAACUGACGCUGAGGGACGAAAGCGUGGGUAGCGAACAGGAUUAGAUACCCCUGUAGUCCCUGUCUCUUAUAC
rnacentral:rRNA from 1 species